GUGCUGGCUUCAUCAGCACAUAUACUAACAUUGGAACAAUACAUAAAAGAUUAGCAUGGCCCCUGCGCAAGGAUGACACGUACAUUUGUGAAGUGUUCUAUAUUGAG